rnacentral:tRNA from 1 species
GACUUCGUAGCUCAGUUGGUAGAGUAAGUGACUCUUAAUCAUUGGGUCGUGGGUUCGAACCCCACCGGGGUCA